UAAAUUGAGAGUUUGAUCCUGGCUCAGGAUGAACGCUGGCGGCGUGCCUAAUACAUGCAAGUCGAACGAAACUUCUUUAUCACCGAGUGCUUGCACUCACCGAUAAAGAGUUGAGUGGCGAACGGGUGAGUAACACGUGGGCAACCUGCCCAAAAGAGGGGGAUAACACUUGGAAACAGGUGCUAAUACCGCAUAACCAUAGUUACCGCAUGGUAACUAUGUAAAAGGUGGCUAUACUACCGCUUUUGGAUGGGCCCGCGGCGCAUUAGCUAGUUGGUAGGGUAAAGGCUUACCAAGGCAAUGAUGCGUAGCCGAAUUGAGAGGUUGAUCGGCCACAUUGGGACUGAGACACGGCCCAAACUCCUACGGGAGGCAGCAGUAGGGAAUCUUCCACAAUGGGCGAAAGCCUGAUGGAGCAACGCCGCGUGGGUGAAGAAGGUCUUCGGAUCGUAAAACCCUGUUGUUAGAGAAGAAAGUGCGUGAGAGUAACUGUUCACGUUUCGACGGUAUCUAACCAGAAAGCCACGGCUAACUACGUGCCAGCA
rnacentral:rRNA from 1 species